CUACGGGAGGCAGCAGUCGCGGAACUUUUACAAUGCACGCAAGUGUGAUAAAGCGAACCAAAGUGCUUAUCAUUUAGAUAAGCUUUUUCUCUACGUAAAAACUAGGGAGAAUAAGGACUGGGAAAGACUGGUGCCAGCCGCCGCGGUAAUACCAGCAGUUCAAGUUGCAUCCAUUUUUAUUGGGUCUAAAACAUCCGUAGCUUGGUGCUUAAGUCUCUUGUGAAAUCUCACGUCUCAAGCGUGGUGAAGUGCAGGAGAUACUGAGUACCUAGAGAUCGGUAGACGUAAGCAGUACGGGACGGGUAACGGUCAAAUGUGUUAAUCCGUCUUGGACUAACAAUCAGCGAAGGCAGCUUACGAGGACGAAUCUGACAGUGAGGGAUGAAGGCCAGGGGCGCAAAACGGAUUGGAUACCCUUGUAGUC
rnacentral:rRNA from 1 species